rnacentral:rRNA from 1 species
GAUGAACGCUGGCGGCGUGCCUAAUACAUGCAAGUCGAGCGAACAGACGAGGAGCUUGCUCCUCUGACGUUAGCGGCGGACGGGUGAGUAACACGUGGAUAACCUACCUAUAAGACUGGGAUAACUUCGGGAAACCGGAGCUAAUACCGGAUAAUAUAUUGAACCGCAUGGUUCAAUAGUGAAAGACGGUUUUGCUGUCACUUAUAGAUGGAUCCGCGCCGCAUUAGCUAGUUGGUAAGGUAACGGCUUACCAAGGCAACGAUGCGUAGCCGACCUGAGAGGCUUAGCGGGCGCACUGGAAGGGAGACAAGGACCAGCCGCGUAGGGGAGGCAGAAGUAGGGAAUAUUCGGCGAGGGGGGAAAGAGUUAAGGAUGAAAGCCGCUCGAGUGAGAAGGGUCAUAGGAGCGGAAAACACUCUUCCGAGGGAAGAACAAAUGUGUAACUAACCAUGCAAGUAGUGACGUCCCCGAAGCAGAAAGGAACGGCGAACAACGUG